UACGAAGGGGGCGAGCGUUGUUCGGAAUCACUGGGCGUAAAGGGCGCGUAGGCGGCCCUUCUUGUCGCGUGUGAAAGCCCCGGGCUCAACCGAGGAACUGCGUCCGAUACUGGUGGGCUUGAAUCCGGGAGAGGGAUGUGGAAUUCCAGGUGUAGCGGUGAAAUGCGUAGAUAUCUGGAGGAACACCGGUGGCGAAGGCGGCAUCCUGGACCGGUAUUGACGCUGAGGCGCGAAAGCCAGGGGAGCAAACGGG
rnacentral:rRNA from 1 species